CCCUUCCUUUUCCUCUCCUCUUCUUUAACUCCAUGAGGUCCCCUAUUCUUCCGCCCUAGACUCCGAAUUAGAACAGCAGACCCGCCUCUAUGGAAUUCCUGCCUCUAACAGGAUCUUUCUAUGGAAAGGAUGUUUUUCCAAAAUGGCAUAGAGAACCGAACAGCUUGAAAUAGAAUCAAAGCCUCUAUAUUCGGGACUUCAUUGGGUUGCCCAACCGAGUCAGGUCUCAUACUGGAUAAGAGGCCCAUACCAGGACCUGGAUUGGAUGUCCCGAUAAUUGGGUCAAAUUGGUCCUUCACAUCAGACUCACCCAAAUAUUGAAUUGGUCCUUUCUUCUUUUGUCGACUCCUGGUAAGAACAGCUCGAAUUCAUUCCACCCGAUUUAUCGAAGAAUCUUGAGGACCUCAA
rnacentral:lncRNA from 1 species